GGUUAUUUAAUCUACUCAACUGCUGGGUUAUGAAAUGUGUAACCCAUUUUGGGUUAUUUGAAUGAGAUUUGGGUUAUUUUUGUGCAACAGUUGGGUUAUUUAAUCUACUCAACUGCUGGGUUAUGAAAUGUGUAACCCAUUUUGGGUUAUUUGAAUGAGAUUUGGGUUAUUUUAGUGCAACUUGACCCAGCACCUGGGUUGUUGUACUUGUUUGAACCGGUUUGAACAUCAUUACAUCUACAGUCAUCCUCCACAACGCAACGCCAGGAUCCAUUUUGUCUUCGAUCUGAGUGGGGGAAAACAUCCUCGUUGCGAGGUAAAUCAACAAUAAGAGUGUACCAUAUCUGACGAGCGCGCAUCACAGCUUAAAGAAUGGUGAAGAAACAAUUGCCAGCCCCUCAGUCAGGUACAGGACUACAUGCAAGACACUGCAGUCUACAGGGCCAAGUGCAUUAGGGACAACAAUUGGACCAUCUACCAGAUCCUCCAAGAAUUCCCUCACCUAAUGAGCAAAGGCAUGGACUUUCUUAUCCUGCAUGGGGAUGCUUCAUCAAAGUUGUUUGAAACUUGGCUACCCAUUUAUGCGGAGA